UACGUAGGGGGCAAGCGUUGUCCGGAAUCAUUGGGCGUAAAGAGCGUGUAGGCGGCUCGGUAAGUCCGCUGUAAAAGUCCAGGGCUCAACCCUGGAAAGCCGGUGGAAACUGUCAAGCUAGAGUCCGGAAGAGGCGAGUGGAAUUCCUGGUGUAGCGGUGAAAUGCGCAGAUAUCAGGAGGAACACCAAUGGCGAAGGCAGCUCGCUGGGACGGUACUGACGCUGAGACGCGAAAGCGUGGGGAGCAAACAGG
rnacentral:rRNA from 1 species